rnacentral:tRNA from 1 species
GCCUGGGUGGCUCAGUCAGUUGAGUGUCUGACUUUGGCUCAGGUCAUCUCAUGAUUCGUGGGUUCGAGCCCUGCAUUGGGCU